GCCGGAAUAGCUCAGUUGGGAGAGCGUUAGACUGAAGUGGUUAAAGCAACGAUCAUCAAAAGGCCUCCGGUUCAAUCCCGGGUUCCGGCA
rnacentral:tRNA from 1 species